CUUUUUGUGGCAGAAUAGUGCGAUAAAUUUAGGAUUUAUUUAUGGGUAACCCCGAGAAGA
rnacentral:tRNA from 1 species